GAUGAGGAGCCGCCUCCGCCGCCCCCCAGCCGUGCUGCCUGCUGGCGGAACUCUUCCGGCUUCUGGCUGCUGGGGCUCUGCAAUAACUUUGCCUACGUGGUCAUGCUGAGCGCAGCCCAUGACAUCCUGAGCCAGCGAGGGGCACUGGACUCCAAUGGGACCAGCCAGGCUGUGCUCUUGGCUGACAUCCUGCCCACCCUGCUCAUCAAACUCAGUGCCCCCUUCUACAUACAG